AUGUUAUUUAAUAUUAUUGUGAAUUAUAUCAUUUUCAUCAUAAAAAAAUUAAGAGAUAUAGCACAAUAUUGAUUUUAGUCCAUUUAUUCAAUACAAAACGCUUGGGAAGGAAUAGGGUAUUUACAAUCCAGUAUGGUGUUUGAGGUGAAAAAAAAUUUUAAAAAGGUACAAAAAGUGUCAAAUAUACGCGCGCAAAAAACGCCCUCAAAAAUGUAUUCCUGUACAAAACAAUUUAGAUUUGAUAUUAUAAAGUGAGAGUAUUACGUUUUUUCUUUACAUAAGUAAUAAUGUGAAAAAAAAUGCGCCGACCAUAAAAAUGGAUGUUUAUACGAAAUAGAAAAUCCCAAUAUCAAUCUUUAGUCUGAUGCGGGCUUAACAAAAAACCAAACUGUGAAUGCCAGCCAAAGAAUAAUAAUAAAAAGUAGAUGUUCUAUUUCGUAUAAACAUCCAUUUUUAUGGUUGGCGCAUUUUCUUAAUAUCAUUAUUUUUGUAGGCAAAAAAAUUUAAUACUCUUAUUUUGUAGUGUCAAAUCUAAGUUGUUUUGUACAAGAAUACAUUUUUGAGAGCGUUUUUUGCGCGCGUAUAUCCCAAUAAGACAGUUACGUGACAUCCAUGUGUAAUCUAUGUGAUUUACAUGGAUGCAGGUUUUUCUAUAAGUUAUCCACGUGAAUGCAACGUUCUUUUUUCAUCAUUGCAUCGAAUUCUUUUAUCUUCGAAAUAUAUAUUAGAUUUUUUGUGGAUAUUAAGAAAUAUUUAUAGGGAAUUUACAUGGAUAUUUCGAGAAACGCCGCGCGCUCGUCCGCCAGUUAGUGCACGGCGCCGUCAGGCGGCGUAACUCUCUUAGGAGUAAGGUGCACCCAAUGCGCUAUAUAAAGACCACUUGCAGCACGAUUAAGACAAGCAGUAAUUAGCUUCCUGCCCGAUUUGGAAGAGAACCGCCACAUAAUACUUUUAUGAUUUACUCAUUUUAAUUAAGUGAACAAUCCGCUACAAGAAAAUUGAUCUUCACUCUGGUUAAAUAAAGGAUCACUUAUCGAGCGAAAAAUUCAUUCUUAUAAAAAGUGAGAUGUCACUCCAUUUUGAAUAACUGUAUUUUACUAUCGCUUAAAGUAAAAUUCCAUUCUUUUGGAGUAACGUUUUACUCCAAGAAAUUUAGAGAAUACGUUAUGUUAUGAAGAAGUUUCUAAAAUUUAUAGAAUUUUUACGUGGUUUCUACGUCAAAUCUAUGAUCGCAUUCACAUAGAUUCUAGUACCGUUUUUAAGCAAAUGUCCACUCGAAUAUUCACGAGGAUUUCACGAUGUUGAUCCACGUAGCAUUAACGCGGACAUUACGUAUUAUUUUAUUGGGGUACUUGGCGCUUUUUUGUACUUUUUUUUAAAAAAGGUAAUUUUGCUAUGAUUUCACUUCUUUUGUAGUUUCAGGUAUGUCAUUUUGUUGAGUAAUGUAUAUGGAGAUUCUUAAGACAAUUUUAAAAUCCGUAUCAAAUUAAAAAUUGAGAUUGAAAUGAUUUUGUCGAUGUCAUUCAAGGUCAACUAUAUAUUUUCAUCACAUUUUCUUCUUAAUAGUCUAUAAACUUUGACUGAAAUGUUUUUACCUUAGUAAACCUAGCACUCCUACCACUAAAAAAAAAGGUAUAAUUUUCUGCUAAUUAUUUGCUAAUUUUUUUCUCUAGUCCUUAAUUUUUUGCUCCUACCUGUUUGCAGGAAAUUAAGAACAAAAAUAUGAAUGCCAGUCUAUGUGACGCUAGCACCCUCACUAAUAAAAAAAUGCAUAAACAAAAAAACAACUACAUCAAAAUUUUCUGCUUAUUUUGUGCUUUAAAAUACUGUAAACAUAUAUUAAAAAUAUUGAAUUAGUUAUCAAAGUAUCAGUACCGUCGUAAUGUAACGGUAUAAGAGAAAAUGAUUAAAAAUCAGAAGCUAAUCAUACAUGACAGACAUAAAGGUAUUUCUCAAUCAAAUAUUCGUAAAAUAUGCAAUUAAAAUUUUAAACUUACAAAAUAACCUUUGUGUCUGAUGGGACGUAUACGCAAGGUUGCUAAAAAACAUGUUUAAAAAGAAAAACAACAAAACAUUACGUUUUUUUAAACUAAAAACGUAUUUUUUUAGUUUUAAACAUCUUUUAAACAUAUUUUUAAACAUGUACGACACAAUUCGGAUGUUGUACGUCAGAUGUCGACACAGUGAAAACGUGUCUAAACACGUUUUACACGUAGCAUAAACACAGCACGCAGAGCGCAGUUGGGAGCGUAGUAUGAAAGUUUUCCUACAUGCGACAUUUAUACAUUAUUUUCAAAGAUCUACGUGUAAAAAUAAAGAAAUAUGGGCGGAAGACGACAGGAUGCGGUUUAGCAACAUUUUAUAAGAAUUAAAGGUGAUAAUAAACCAUUGAGAGCGAAGUGUAAACACUGUGAAAAAGAAAUGUGUUCUUUAGUAGCACGUAUGAAGAUGCACAUAAAUAAGUGCAAUGUCUUAAAUAAAGAUAAAUUGUACGAAGAGAUCGACAUUGACGACAUUACAUAUAAUGAGGAUCCUCCAAUAAAUAAUGAAAACUUGAAUGAUAAUAUUGAAACUGAUGAAACUGUUAACGAAUCUUCUGAAACCAGCGUCACCAGCACUGAAUUUAACAUUCAAAGUGAACGAAGCAAAACAGUUAAUCUCUUUGGAACUGUCUCGCAACCGCAAACAUCAUGUUCAACAAACUCAAUAUUAACGACUUCAUUAAAAUCAGGAAUAUCAAGCAAAAAUUUACAUUCUUUUGUAAUAAAAACAACAAAUUUAGAAAAAAUUUAUUGAUUUACAGAUAGCAAAGUUUAUAUAUAGUACAAAUUCAUUGUUUCGGCUUGUGGAACAUAAAAAAUUUAAAAAAAUGGUUGAUUUGUUACGUCCAGGGUACAAACCGCCAAGUCGCCAUCAAAUUGCUAAUGAAUUAUUAGAAAAUGUUUUUAUUUCCAUAAAACAAAGUGUAGAAAAAAAUUUUAAAGAUAAGAUAUAUGGCGAUGAAGGGCUGGAGUAAUCUUCAUGUCGAGCCAAUAGUUUGCAUCUCAAUAACCGACGUAUUAGAAGGAAAUAUUCAUUUGAUAGAUACAAUAGAUACUGCUGACAACAAGCACACUGCAGAUUACAUAUUAAAAUUAGCUGUCAAAGCAAAUAAAAAGUUGCCAAAAAUUUCGUUGUUUUAUUAAAAGUUUUGUAACUGACAACGCAAGUAAUAUGGCAAAAAUGCGAAGUCAACUUUCACAAUAUGAGGAAAUAGAUAUGCCAGAUAUAAUAACAUACGGUUGUUCAGCGCAUAUUUUGCAUUUAUUAGCAAAAGAUAUCGACGUGCCAGAACUGAAAGAAAAGACUUUGCAAUAAAUAUUCUCUAAAUCGCCAUGGAUACAACCUACUGUUGACUACAGCACGCCUCUUGGUCUACACGUGGAUCAGAAAAUAUAAAUUUCAGGUUACUAAUAUUUUUCUCUACUUAGAAAAGAUGAAUAACUCAAAGACAAAAUUAACAUAAAACUUUUUGCAGAAGACCUAAAACGUUGCACUAAAUAUGACAAGAAUGAUUAUAUGAAAAAUAUUUUGCAAUUAAAAAAACAAAAGUUAGAGAAGGAUAGAAAAUAUAAAAAUAAAAAACUUGAUAUUUUGAGAGAGAUUCAAAAGAAAAUGUGUUAAAAAGAAAUCAAUAAUGUUAUGUUCCUCAACACUUCAUUAUAUGUGUAUUUAGACUUUAUUUUCCAAAGAUUUUGUUAUACUACCCUUAUAGAAAUUUUAUCCUGGCAGUACUAAAUUGGCCAGUGAUUAAUUACUUAUUUUGAGUAUUAAAAGCAUUAAAAACAUUGCUUUUAAUACUCAAAAUAAGUAAUUAAUCAUUGGCUAAUUUAAUACUACUAGUAUUAACUUUCUAUAAAAAUAUACUAUAACGUAAUAUAGUUUAAAAGUUUUACUUUUCUAAUUUUUAAGAAGUAUAAACCGCAAAGAAGAGUGAUUAAUAGCAAUAUAUACAUAAGUAAACAUAAACAGUGAUUAAUAAGUACAUGCAUAAAAUGUAUAUUAAUUUGUUACUUACCAGUGUAAUAAUUAAUUAAAAAUUAAUUAUUAAACCAUUAAUUCUUGAACAAUUAAUUAACAAUUUAUUCCAUUAAACAAUUAAUUGAAAAUCAAACUUUGUAUUAAUUCAGUUAUUUCUUAGGAUAGUAAGAUAAUUUUUUAUUUGUUCUCUUCUGAUGACUCCUUGUUGCUGUUGUUCUGGAAUAACUUCCAAAGGCCCGGGAUCUUCCUCUGGGUCGUCUAGGAAGAUAACUGGGUAUUCAAUCUCAUCUUCUUUCGUGAGACAGAUAUUAUGGAGAACACAACAAAUAUUAUAUAAUAUGGUAUAAGGUCUGUUCUUCGCAUUGGCAGUUUGUCCAGCAUAUAUCUCCAUCGUCCUUUUAAUACACCUGUAGACCGUUCCACAAUCAUUCUGCUGUUAAAUGCCCAUUGUCCUUGUAUGGCAUCACAAAUUUUUGCAGAGUGUAAGUUGGAGCCUAUGAGGUAAUUAUCGUUGUCAAAAUAAUUAUUGUUACAUUUUUGUUGUAUUCCAGAAUAUUUAAACAUUCUCAUGUCGUGCACCGAUCCUGGCAUUUCAGCAUAGCAGUGAAUAAAUUUUCUUUUUUUUGUUGCAGACUACCUGUAAACGAGAUGCCCGAUGUUUACUGAGUGUUUUAUGCUUUUCUCUAAAAUAAAA
rnacentral:lncRNA from 1 species